GACGAACGCUGGCGGCGUGCUUAACACAUGCCAGUCGAACGGUGAAGCUCCAGCUUGCUGGAGUGGAUCAGUGGCGAACGGGUGAGUAACACGUGAGCAACCUGCCCCUGACUCUGGAAUAAGCGCUGGAAACGGCGUCUAAUACUGGAUAUGAGAAGGGUCCGCAUGGACACUUUCUGGAAAGUUUUUCGGUUGGGGAUGGGCUCGCGGCCUAUCAGCUUGUUGGUGAGGUAAUGGCUCACCAAGGCGACGACGGGUAGCCGGCCUGAGAGGGCGACCGGCCACACUGGGACUGAGACACGGCCCAGACUCCUACGGGAGGCAGCAGUGGGGAAUAUUGCACAAUGGGCGAAAGCCUGAUGCAGCGACGCCGCGUGAGGGAUGACGGCCUUCGGGUUGUAAACCUCUUUCAGCAGGGAAGAAGCGAAAGUGACGGUACCUGCAGAAGAAGCACCGGCUAACUACGUG
rnacentral:rRNA from 1 species